rnacentral:antisense_RNA from 1 species
CGCCGCGGGUGUGCUGGGCGCCGGUGGAGGGGGAAACAGCGAGGAUUAGACGCCGGGAAGCACUUCCCCAACAUCUGCGAGAGAAUCCCAUCAUCCCGUGCACAUCUCAUCCCAGGAGGGAGAGAGGAGCUGCCGAGCAGAAAGCAGACUGGCUGCAGGGACAGAAGACACCAAGGGCACCCUCCCCCCACAGCUAUGCCUGGACCUCCUGCAAGAAGAGGAAGCCUUAGGGGUCUUUAUUGUAUCCUCAAGACCCCAGAGAGAAACAGAAGUGCUGAGGGGUCACAGGCAGUUCUCUUACCCUCUCUGGGCCUCGAAUAUUUAUCCAUAGGAGGCUGAAAGUACCUGCCUCGCAACUCAUUCAUGAG